UCUCUCGCUCUCUUGCUCUCUGCCGCCCACUCAGCGCACGCUGAAUGUGCGCAAAAUAUCGUUUUUGCGCAAUGGUUUCAAUCCAUGAGCGCAACUUUAAAACUCUCAAAUUCAAAGCCACUUCUUGCAAACGCGACGUACACACAUACACUAACAGCAGAGCGGAUUGAGGCAGAGAAACGGACAGCUGCAGCGGCAGAGGCAGAGGCAGCGCAGCAGGCAACUGCAGGCUGCAACGCUCAGCUUGGAAGUAAAAGGCGUUUUCCCUAAGACAGAGCGAGUGAAAGGAAGAGCAGCAUGAAUGUUUGGUGAAAAUUAAUGCAACAACAACAGCUGCCGGUUCUACGGGAAAUACGAAUAAUAAAUAUACGCUGAUGGUCAAAACUCACGUGCUAAAAAUA